rnacentral:rRNA from 1 species
GCUACAACCCACGCGUCGCACUGGAUUCUCACUCAAGUAUAGUUUCUACACAGUAACUGCGAUGGCUCAUUACAACAGUUACUGUUUAUUUGAUACAUUAAAUGGAUAACUGUAGAAAAACUAGAGCUAAUACAUGCCGAAGCCGCAAGGUUGUAUUUAUUAGAUAUUCCAAUUAGGUGAAUCAUGAUAACUUUGCAAUUCUCGGUUUUUGCCGAGAUAAAUCAUCCAAGUUUCUGCCCUAUCAUGCUUUCGAUGGUAGUGUAUUGGACUACCAAGAAAAAAAAAAGAAAACAGGGAAUUAGGGUCUUUUCUUUUUGAGAAGGAGCCUGAGACACGGCUACUACAUCUACGGAAGGCAGCAGGCGCGUAAAUUACCCAAUCCUGACUCAGGGAGGUGGUGAUUAUUCUAUAACAACGCAAUUUCAUUGGAUUGUAGUGAGGGUAUUCCAAACCGACCACUAGUACGAUUAGAGGGCAGUCUGGUGCAGCAGCCGCGGUAUUCCAGCUCUAAUAGCGUAUAUAAAGUUGCUGCAGUAACAGCUCGUAGUGGAUUCAGAUGUGACUUCCCGAGUUGCACUACUAGUCUUGACUGUACUGGAAAAUAAGUGUUAAGCAGCUAUGCAAUCUUACUGAUACAAGUCAAUCUGUUAUCAGUCAUUAAACAGUGGGCUAUUAUGCAGAAAUCUGGUUGUAAUCGCAGUCGGUUUCUAACAGAGAAUACUGCCUCUUCUGUGAGCACACUCAUUGGC